AUUGAACGCUGGCGGCAUGCUUUACACAUGCAAGUCGAACGGUAACAGGCCGCAAGGUGCUGACGAGUGGCGCACGGGUGCGUAAUGCAUCGGAACGUGCCCAGUCGUGGGGGUUAACUACUCGAAAGAGUAGCUAAUACCGCAUACGAUCUAUGUAUGACAGCGGGGGACCGUAAGGCCUCGCGCGAUUUUAUCGGCCGAUGUCAGAUUAGGUAGUUGGUGGGGUAAAGGCUCACCAAGCCAACGAUCUGUAGCUGGUCUGAGAGGACGACCAGCCACACUGGGACUGAGACACGGCCCAGACUCCUACGGGAGGCAGCAGUGGGGAAUUUUGGACAAUGGGCGCAAGCCUGAUCCAGCAAUGCCGCGUGCAGGAAGAAGGCCUUCGGGUUGUAAACUGCUUUUGUACGGAAAGAAACGGCUCUGGUUAAUACCCGGGGCUAAUGACGGUACCGAAAGAAUAAGCACCGGCUAACUACGUG
rnacentral:rRNA from 1 species